UACGGAGGGUGCAAGCGUUAUCCGGAUUUAUUGGGUUUAAAGGGUCCGUAGGCGGACUCGUAAGUCAGUGGUGAAAUCUCAUAGCUUAACUAUGAAACUGCCAUUGAUACUGCGGGUCUGAGUAAGGUAGAGGUAGCUGGAAUAAGUAGUGUAGCGGUGAAAUGCAUAGAUAUUACUUAGAACACCAAUUGCGAAGGCAGGUUACCAUGUCUUAACUGACGCUGAUGGACGAAAGCGUGGGGAGCGAACAGG
rnacentral:rRNA from 1 species